GAACACCUGUUCGCGUUCACUGGGUCAGCCUUGGUGUACAACACUAAUUAAGGCACGCGGUGAAUGCCAAGGGGCUUGUU